rnacentral:rRNA from 1 species
GCAUGCCUAACACAUGCAAGUCGAGCGAGAAAGUCCUUCGGGAUGAGUAAAGCGGCGCACGGGUGAGUAACACGUGGGUAAUCUGCCCUUUAGUUUGGGAUAACUCCUCGAAAGAGGAGCUAAUACCGGAGAGACCACAGAGACAUCAGUCUCAGGGGUUAAAGAUGGGGACCUUUCGGGGCCUAUCGCUAGAGGAUGAGCUCGCGACCUAUUAGCUAGUUGGUGGGGUAAAAGCCUACCAAGGCUGUGAUGGGUAGCUGGUCUGAGAGGAUGACCAGUCACACUGGAACUGAGACACGGUCCAGACUCCUACGGGAGGCAGCAGUGGGGAAUUUUGCACAAUGGGCGAAAGCCUGAUGCAGCAAUGCCGCGUGGGUGAAGAAGGCCUUCGGGUUGUAAAUCCCUGUCGGCUGGGACAAACGACUUUCUGGUGAAUAAUCAGAGAGAGUGAUGGUACCAGCAAAGGAAGAGGCGGCUAACUCUGUGCCAGCAGCCGCGGUAAUACAGAGGCCUCAAGCGUUGUUCGGAAUUACUGGGCGUAAAGCGGGUGUAGGUGGCGUUGUAAGUCAGAUGUGAAAGCCCUGGGCUCAACCCAGGAAGUGCGUCUGAUACUGCUUCGCUAGAGUGCGAUAGAGGAAGGUGGAAUUCCUAGUGUAGGGGUGAAAUCCGUAGAUAUUAGGAGGAAUACCAAUGGCGAAGGCAGCCUUCUGGAUCGCAACUGACACUCAGACCCGAAAGCGUGGGGAUCAAACAGGAUUAGAUACCCUGGUAGUCCACGCCGUAAACGAUGGGUGCUUGUCGUUGGAAGUGUUAACCCUUUCAGUGACGGAGCUAACGCGUUAAGCACCCCGCCUGGGGAGUACGGUCGCAAGAUUA